rnacentral:rRNA from 1 species
AGUGAACGCUGGCGGUAGGCCUAACACAUGCAAGUCGAACGGCAGCACAGUAAGAGCUUGCUCUUACGGGUGGCGAGUGCGGACGGGUGCGGAAUACAUCGGAAUCUACUUUUUCGUGGGGGAUAACGUAGGGAAACUUACGCUCAUACCGCAUACGACCUACGGGUGAAAGCAGGGGAUCUUCGGACCUUGCGCGAAUGAAUGAGCCGAUGUCGGAUUAGCUAGUUGGCGGGGUAAAGGCCCACCAAGGCGACGAUCCGUAGCUGGUCUGAGAGGAUGAUCAGCCACACUGGAACUGAGACACGGUCCAGACUCCUACGGGAGGCAGCAGUGGGGAAUAUUGGACAAUGGGCGCAAGCCUGAUCCAGCCAUACCGCGUGGGUGAAGAAGGCCUUCGGGUUGUAAAGCCCUUUUGUUGGGAAAGAAAAGCAGCAGGUUAAUACCCCGCUGUUCUGACGGUACCCAAAGAAUAAGCACCGGCUAACUUCGUG